rnacentral:lncRNA from 1 species
AUAUAUAUAUAUAUAUAUAUAUAUAUAUAUAUAUAUAUAUAUAUAUAAAACUAGGCUCCUAUGCUUUCGAAAGUACGGGAGAUCCCGUGCUUGUAAGUUGUUUUCGAUGAUGGGACAUCUAAUUUGGCGAUCGGUUCCGUUAAACUUGACCUACGCUAUUGGAACUAUCUAGAAACCAAAUUUCAUAAUUUUUUGAUUUCGUUUGUCUAGUGAACGAGUAGCCUCAAAAUGAACGGCUGAAAAUGAAAAUCUCAUAAAAAAUAAUGAUAAAGGAUUCAAAUUUUAAAUCGAAAGUAUUAAUCUUGCUACUGAUGUUAAGUAGAAAUUUUUAUUAAAUUUUCAUAUAAUUUGGAUACUUCUACACCGUUUAACUUAAAAAUGUGCCACAUUGACCGUUAAAAUAGUCAUUUUUUAGACUUUUGAUCGCUUAGUAAAUGAUGUCAAAAAAUCUACUAAUAGGGUAGAUCAUAUCUAACGGAGCUGAUCAUCAAAUCGAACGUCCUAUCAUCAAAAACAACUUACAAACACGGAACCUCCCGUACUUUCGAAAGUAUAGAAGACGGAAUAUAUAUAUAUAUAUAUAUAUAUAUAUAUAUAUAUAUAAA